AAAUUCGUCGCUAAUUUGUCAAAUUCUUAUAUUGCAUGUUUUCAGCUUCAAACAUGAUUCCAAAUUCUAUAUCAGUUUCACUUCCCAUCCUUCUGCCCUUGUAUUAACCUCAGCCUCUGUUUUAUACUCUUCAUUUUCAUCACUCGCAAGCUCAACAUAGUAGAGUAUUCCAUAUUGUGUUUUGUAUUUUCUUGCUUCUCUUGUCUUCUUGUCCAGCCAUUUUUUUUCCUUUUUCUCUGUGCCAACUGGUUGAUUGUAUGGGUUUUGAUACUUCAACUUCCAUAUUAUUCUUUUUUAUAUCUUCUUGUCCAACGUUUUCAGGCAUGUUGUCCUCCAUUUGUUAUUCCCAUUCCUAAUUCCUCUAAUUUGCUGUUGGAAGGAUCCUCUGGCUUCUCUUUUUGUAGAACCCUUCCACUAUUAAUAUCUUUACUCAUUGGGCUGUUUUUGCCUUCUUCUCCUAUGCUUCCCUUAAUUGGAUCAUCACUGGUGGCCUUCUCACUCUGAAAUAGUUUUUAUUGGGCUUCCAAACUAUUUAUCUGGCCUAACUUAGAGUUAUUACCCAAGGCUCUUACUUCAUCUCCUCCACCUCUUGACCCAUUUUAUCUAACUCCUCAGCAAGUCUUGCGUACUUUUCUACUUUUCUCUUCUCAUCACCCUGAUGGGUGAUGGCCUGAUUUUCAGGCAUAUUUUCUUGUAUUUCUACCCCCUCUCUGCUGCCCUCCCACUCCAUUCUGUCAAAUUUCCACCCUCAGGAAAGAUCUCAUUAGAGUCCCAUUUCUCCUUGGAUCUUCUACCUCACAAACAAUACCCAUCAUGUAUCCUAUUUUUCUAGCAGUUUCUUCUUCAAUCAGCUCAAGUGGUUCAUCAACUGAUCUUUAAUGCACCAGGGACCUCCUUUGAGGAUCUGUCUCCCUCUCCCAAUAUCCUUGAAGCUAAACAGCAACAUGUUCCUGCCCACUUCUGUAAUGUUCGAGUCCUUUUGGCUUGCCCCAUAUACCAAUAAUGGCGUUCUUGCGUGCUUUCAGAUUCAUCUCCUUUUGACAUAUGAAUUUUUCAACCAAAUUGAGGCAAUCAUCCUUAAAGCCUUGUUGCUCUAGCUUUUCAAUCCAUAUAGUUUUACCUUCAGUAGACUCCAUUCCAUAUGUUGUCAUAAUCUUUACACUUUUUUACUCUGAUAACUUCGGCCAAUGUAUGUACUGUUUGUUUGUUUUUCGAGAUUAAGAUGUCUGUUAGAUAGGUUUAUAUGAUGUUUAAGUAAAUAAGAGUGAAAUAUAGCUCCCCAAUAGAAAAAACUUUCUGUUUUACA